rnacentral:sRNA from 1 species
UUGACUCGGUAAUGAGAAUCGCUAUGAUUAUCACAACUGGUCGCGAGAUCAGUCGAUAUUCUGAAAAGCCCUUGGUUCGGACUCUCAGAUUAUCUCCUCAUCAGGCUAAUCACGGUUAUUUGACCCGGUUUUUUACCGGGUCUUUUUUUG